GACGAACGCUGGCGGCGUGCUUAACACAUGCAAGUCGAACGGUAAGGCCCUUCGGGGUACACGAGUGGCGAACGGGUGAGUAACACGUGGGUGAUCUGCCCUGCACUUCGGGAUAAGCCUGGGAAACUGGGUCUAAUACCGGAUAGGACCACUGCCUGCAUGGGUGGUGGUGGAAAGCUUUUGCGGUGUGGGAUGGGCCCGCGGCCUAUCAGCUUGUUGGUGGGGGGAUGGCCUACCAAGGCGACGACGGGUAGCCGGCCGGAGAGGGUGACCGGCCACACUGGGACUGAGAUACGGCCCAGACUCCUACGGGAGGCAGCAGUGGGGAAUAUUGCACAAUGGGCGCAAGCCUGAUGCAGCGACGCCGCGUGAGGGAUGACGGCCUUCGGGUUGUAAACCUCUUUCAGCACCGACGAAGCGCAAGUGACGGUAGGUGCAGAAGAAGGACCGGCCAACUACGUGCCAGCCGCCGCAGUAA
rnacentral:rRNA from 1 species